rnacentral:rRNA from 1 species
CUGUCGGUGUUAACUGGCAUGUUCUGUGGAACGUCCUGCCGGUGGCGGUCCGGGCUCUCGUUCUGCGUAAGGGUCUCCCGAAGCAGUGCGAACAGUUCCGGCCGCCGGUUCAAUCCCGCCACGGUGCUCUUCACCGAGUGUCGAGGCGGGCCGGCACUUUUACUUUGAACAAAUUAGAGUGCUUAAAGCAGGCGGUUUCCGCCUGAAUACUGUGUGCAUGGAAUAAUGGAAUAGGACCUCGGUUCUAUUUUGUUGGUUUUCAGAACCCGAGGUAAUGAUUAAUAGGGACAGGCGGGGGCAUUCGUAUUGCGACGUUAGAGGUGAAAUUCUUGGAUCGUCGCAAGACGAACCUAAGCGAAAGCAUUUGCCAAGUAUGUUCUCGUUAAUCAAGAACGAAAGUUAGAGGUUCGAAGGCGAUCAGAUACCGCCCUAGUUCUAACCAUAAACGAUGCCAACCAGCGAUCCGCCGAAGUUCCUCCGAUGACUCGGCGGGCAGCUUCCGGGAAACCAAAGCUUUUGGGUUCCGGGGGAAGUAUGGUUGCAAAGCUGAAACUUAAAGGAAUUGACGGAAGGGCACCACCAGGAGUGGAGCCUGCGGCUUAAUUUGACUCAACACGGGAAACCUCACCAGGCCCGGACACCGGAAGGAUUGACAGAUUGAGAGCUCUUUCUUGAUUCGGUGGGUGGUGGUGCAUGGCCGUUCUUAGUUGGUGGAGCGAUUUGUCUGGUUAAUUCCGAUAACGAACGAGACUCUAGCCUGUUAACUAGGCGAAUCUGGUACCCACAACAGUGUUACCGGCGAUUCAAUUUCUUCUUAGAGGGACAGGCGGCUUCUAGCCGCACGAGACUGAGCAAUAACAGGUCUGUAAUGCCCUUAGAUGUUCUGGGCCGCACGCGCGCUACACUGAAGGAAUCAGCGUGUCUUCCCUGGCCGACAGGCCCGGGUAACCCGUUGAACCUCCUUCGUGCUAGGGAUUGGGGCUUGCAAUUGUUCCCCAUGAACGAGGAAUUCCCAGUAAGCGCGAGUCAUAAGCUCGCGUUGAUUACGUCCCUGCCCUUUGUACACACCGCCCGUCGCUACUACCGAUUGAAUGAUUUAGUGAGGUCUUCGGACUGGUGCGCGGCUGUCGGUCUCCGGCAGCCGAUGUUGCCGGAA